rnacentral:rRNA from 1 species
CAAGUCGAGCGAACGGACGAGAAGCUUGCUUCUCUGAUGUUAGCGGCGGACGGGUGAGUAACACGUGGAUAACCUACCCAUAAGACUGGGAUAACUUCGGGAAACCGGAGCUAAUACCGGAUAAUAUUUUGAACCGCAUGGUUCAAAAGUGAAAGACGGUCUUGCUGUCACUUAUAGAUGGAUCCGCGCUGCAUUAGCUAGUUGGUAAGGUAACGGCUUACCAAGGCAACGAUGCAUAGCCGACCUGAGGGGGUGAUCGGCCACACUGGAACUGAGACACGGUCCAGACUCCUACGGGAGGCAGCAGUAGGGAAUCUUCCGCAAUGGGCGAAAGCCUGACGGAGCAACGCCGCGUGAGUGAUGAAGGUCUUCGGAUCGUAAAACUCUGUUAUUAGGGAAGAACAUAUGUGUAAGUAACUGUGCACAUCUUGACGGUACCUAAUCAGAAAGCCACGGCUAACUACGUGCCAGCAGCCGCGGUAAUACGUAGGUGGCAAGCGUUAUCCGGAAUUAUUGGGCGUAAAGCGCGCGUAGGCGGUUUUUUAAGUCUGAUGUGAAAGCCCACGGCUCAACCGUGGAGGGUCAUUGGAAACUGGAAAACUUGAGUGCAGAAGAGGAAAGUGGAAUUCCAUGUGUAGCGGUGAAAUGCGCAGAGAUAUGGAGGAACACCAGUGGCGAAGGCGACUUUCUGGUCUGUAAC